UACGGAUUGCCAGUUAAGAGAGAUCCUGAGAAUGACUACAAUGAUUUAAUAAAUUUUGUUCUGGCCGACGAAUUCUUUGUCGAAUUGCUUGCGGAUUAUCACAAGAUCCUGAGCUGACUCUACUAUGGAGGAUCAUAGUACUGGAAAUAGAUCUUCGAGUGAAUAGGCAAUCAAAAAACGAAAGUUGGAGAAUCUGUUGGAAUCUGUUGGUAACAAAAAUCCGUUUGAUAUUCAACUGUGUUUUCAAGGCUCAUACGUAUAAAUAACACUAAAAGACAUUUCAUCGGGCCGCACACACCACAAGUCGUUAAAAGUUGAAUUUACUUUGUCAGCAAAGUUAACAAUGUUCUAAAAUCCAUAAGAGAUCCCGCAAAUCAAAGACCGCUACAUCUCAGUAUAUUAAGUGGAUGGCCAGGCCCGAAUGUAAUGCAUGUGCAUGACAUUGAAGAGUCAAUCUUGAACGUUGUUUAUUCGAAUGAUGAUCAUUUAACUAUCUUAGCCUAUUGACUAUUGUUAGUUUAAAACUAAUUUU
ensembl:ncRNA lncRNA:CR44994 long non-coding RNA:CR44994